CAUCAACAGGGUAAGAAUGAAUAAACUGGCUACAGCAUAGUUUGGUCAGAAGUUGGCGCUAUAGGCUACGCAUUGGCUGUGAUUCGCCAGUAAACAGAGUA